GGUGUGGUGGGGUAGUGGUUAGCCUGGGGUCCAAUAGUGAAUGCACAAUAUUGAGUUGAACCCAGAUGCAAGUUCAAAUCUUGCCUGCACCC